rnacentral:misc_RNA from 1 species
AAGUCGUAACAAGGUUUCCGUAGGUGAACGUGCGGAAGGAUCAUUAACACGUAUCCAACCGUUAGAAGCCCCCCCGUGAACAUUGAUUCCUGCUCUUGUAACCCGCCAAGCUUGCAAUCUCUGGUAAUCAUAGCCCGGAAAGUAGUUUUGAUUCAGAGACGUCUGGCCCGUGCGAAAAUUGGAACUUUACAAUUCGAGCGGUAGUUCUUUCGGCCUUGUUUCCCCAAGCAGUCAGUGUCUGAAAGUGUCAGUGAUUGUGCAAGGACAACCCUUCACGAUUCUUGUAGACCGCACCUCGCGGGCAGGAGCUAGGCCAAAGGGUCCCCAUGCCUCCUUAAAACCCCACAGUGAAAUGUGAAGCUCAAUGUAAUACAUUGGGUCAAAAACCGAACAACUGGCAACAAUGGAUAUCUUGGUUCUC